rnacentral:rRNA from 1 species
GGCGACCUACGGGACGCAGCAGUGGGGAAUAUUGGACAAUGGGGGAAACCCUGAUCCAGCGACGCCGCGUGAGUGAAGAAGUAUUUCGGUAUGUAAAGCUCUAUCAGCAGGGAAGAAAAUGACGGUACCUGACUAAAAAGCCCCGGCUAACUACGUGCCAGCAGCCGCGGUAAUACGUAGGGGGCAAGCGUUAUCCGGAUUUACUGGGUGUAAAGGGAGCGUAGACGGCAUAGCAAGUCUGAUGUGAAAGAUCGGGGCUCAACCCCGGGCGUGCAUUGGAAACUGUUAAGCUGGAG